CGUGGACCCUGCAGACCCUUCCAGGAAGCUUUUAGACCAGCUCAAGUCACUGUUUUAUAAAACACUCAGCCCUCUAUCCCCUGACAGCCCUCUGCUGCCCUCACUUUAUGGUCCAACUUCUCCAAGAGGCUGUGGAAUCCUAUCAGAUUUGCUUCCUCACAUCCCUACCCGCUCCUCCCCACAUCCACUGCUUACUGAGCACCUACUUUGAAAGAGGCACUUGCUAAGGGCUUGACAGCCUUAUGACAGUGAUCUCCUAAAAGAUGUGUCCACAUUUUAACCUUGAAAGUGGUCUUUGAAGAUAUAACGAGGCUAAGGAUAUUGAAAUGAGGUUGUGCUGGGUUAUCCAGGCGAGCCUUAAGUCCACUGACAAGUGUCCUUCUAAGAGAGAGGCUCAUGGAGAAGAGGAGAAGGCCAUGUGAAGAUGGGGUGGAGACUGGACUCAUGUCUCUGUAAGGCAAGGAUGUGUGGAGCCACUGGAAUGGAAGAGUCAAGGAAGGAUUUUCCCUCAGAGCCUUCAGUGGGAGUGGGGACCCCAUCAUCACUUUGAUUUGGGGCCUUCUUUUUCCUCUGGGAGAGAAAAAAAUAUUUCACACCAUUAAGUUUGUGGUAAUUUGUUACAGUAUCCAUAGAAAACUAAUACACAUGUCCAUUUGACAGAAGGGGAAAUGAAUAAAGAUGUUGCAAAGGCAAGGUGUUUUGGUUUAGGGGCUGCUUGGUUGCAGUCUGAGGAUUCCCCAGGGUCAAUCAUGUUUGUCAAGGCAAUGAUUAAAUGUUUCAGAAAAC
rnacentral:lncRNA from 1 species